GAUGAACGCUGGCGGCGUGCUUAACACAUGCAAGUCGAACGGAAAGGCCCAAGCUUGCUUGGGUACUCGAGUGGCGAACGGGUGAGUAACACGUGGGUGAUCUGCCCUGCACUUCGGGAUAAGCCUGGGAAACUGGGUCUAAUACCGGAUAGGACGAUGGUUUGGAUACCAUUGUGGAAAGUUUUUUCGGUGUGGGAUGAGCUCGCGGCCUAUCAGCUUGUUGGUGGGGUAAUGGCCUACCAAGGCGUCGACGGGUAGCCGGCCUGAGAGGGUGGACGGCCACAUUGGGACUGAGAUACGGCCCAGACUCCUACGGGAGGCAGCAGUGGGGAAUAUUGCACAAUGGGCGCAAGCCUGAUGCAGCGACGCCGCGUGGGGGAUGACGGCCUUCGGGUUGUAAACUCCUUUCGCUAGGGACGAAGCGUUUUUGUGACGGUACCUGGAGAAGAAGCACCGGCUAACUACGUG
rnacentral:rRNA from 1 species